rfam:TNVERIFIED: Cronobacter phage S13, complete genome.
GCUUGCGUAGCUCAACCGGAUAGAGCAUCGGUCUUCUAAACCGAGGGUUAUGUGUUCGAGUCACAUCGUGAGUA